UACGGAGGGUGCAAGCGUUAAUCGGAAUUACUGGGCGUAAAGCGCGCGUAGGCGGUUUGAUAAGUCGAUUGUGAAAUCCCCGGGCUCAACCUGGGAAUUGCAGUCGAGACUGUCAGACUAGAGUGUGGGAGAGGGUGGUGGAAUUCCCGGUGUAGCGGUGAAAUGCGUAGAUAUCGGGAGGAACAUCAGUGGCGAAGGCGACCGCCUGGCCCAACACUGACGCUGAGGUGCGAAAGCGUGGGUAGCAAACAGGG
rnacentral:rRNA from 1 species